AUUGAACGCUGGCGGCAGGCCUAACACAUGCAAGUCGAGCGAGCGGCGGACGGGUGAGUAAUGUCUGGGGAUCUGCCCGAUGGAGGGGGAUAACUACUGGAAACGGUAGCUAAUACCGCAUACCAUCGGAUGAGCCCAGAGGGGAUUAGCUUGUAGGUGGGGUAACGGCUCACCUAGGCGACGAUCCCUAGCUGGUCUGAGAGGAUGAUCAGCCACACUGGGACUGAGACACGGUCCAGACUCCUACGGGAGGCAGCAGUGGGGAAUAUUGCACAAUGGGCGCAAGCCUGAUGCAGCCAUGCCGCGUGUAUGAAGAAGGCCUUAGGGUUGUAAAGUACUUUCAGCGGGGAGGCGUUACCCGCAGAAGAAGCACCGGCUAACUCCGUGCCAGCAGCCGCGGUAAUUC
rnacentral:rRNA from 1 species